rnacentral:rRNA from 1 species
AUUGAACGCUGGCGGCAUGCCUUACACAUGCAAGUCGAACGGCAGCACGGGUGCUUGCACCUGGUGGCGAGUGGCGAACGGGUGAGUAAUACAUCGGAACAUGUCCUGUAGUGGGGGAUAGCCCGGCGAAAGCCGGAUUAAUACCGCAUACGAUCCACGGAUGAAAGCGGGGGACCUUCGGGCCUCGCGCUAUAGGGUUGGCCGAUGGCUGAUUAGCUAGUUGGUGGGGUAAAGGCCUACCAAGGCGACGAUCAGUAGCUGGUCUGAGAGGACGACCAGCCACACUGGGACUGAGACACGGCCCAGACUCCUACGGGAGGCAGCAGUGGGGAAUUUUGGACAAUGGGCGAAAGCCUGAUCUAGCAAUGCCGCGUGUGUGAAGAAGGCCUUCGGGUUGUAAAGCACUUUUGUCCGGAAAGAAAUCCUUGACUCUAAUACAGUCGGGGGAUGACGGUACCGGAAGAAUAAGCACCGGCUAACUACGUG